AAAUUGAAGAGUUUGAUCAUGGCUCAGAUUGAACGCUGGCGGCAGGCCUAACACAUGCAAGUCGAGCGGUAGCACAGAGAGCGUGCUCUCGGGUGACGAGCGGCGGACGGGUGAGUAAUGUCUGGGAAACUGCCUGAUGGAGGGGGAUAACUACUGGAAACGGUAGCUAAUACCGCAUAACGUCGCAAGACCAAAGUGGGGGACCUUCGGGCCUCAUGCCAUCAGAUGUGCCCAGAUGGGAUUAGCUAGUAGGUGAGGUAACGGCUCACCUAGGCGACGAUCCCUAGCUGGUCUGAGAGGAUGACCAGCCACACUGGAACUGAGACACGGUCCAGACUCCUACGGGAGGCAGCAGUGGGGAAUAUUGCACAAUGGGCGCAAGCCUGAUGCAGCCAUGCCGCGUGUGUGAAGAAGGCCUUCGGGUUGUAAAGCACUUUCAGCGGGGAGGAAGGCGUUAAGGUUAAUAACCUUGGCGAUUGACGUUACCCGCAGAAGAAGCACCGGCUAACUCCGUGCCAGCAGCCGCGGUAAUACGGAGGGUGCAAGCGUUAAUCGGAAUUACUGGGCGUAAAGCGCACGCAGGCGGUCUGUCAAGUCGGAUGUGAAA
rnacentral:rRNA from 1 species